rnacentral:lncRNA from 10 species
GGAGAACCCAGACCAGGCCAGGCGCCACAGCCACACGCUGCCCCCAAGGCUGUUUCCCAAAGUGGCACCUGCAAGGCUACGGGUCCUGGACUGCUGGGCUGUUGAAGUACAUUCGUGCACUGAUAGAAUGACGCCUGCAAAGGAACAGAGUCGAGGAUUCAGGCAGGGGUAGAUUGUGUGCGUGUGCACACUCUGUCUCCCGCACUCCACGUUUCCAUCCUGGAUACCUAUACUGCAUAAAAUGGACAUGCGUGACAUUUGGUGCUGAAGACCCAGGUCAGAGAGACUCCUUUGGGGGACCAGUCCGCUGUCCUUGCCCUCACUCUGUGAGGAGACCCACCUACGACCUCGGGUCCUCAGACCAACCAGCUCAAGGAACAUCUCACCAAUUUCAAAUCGGGACCCCACUGGAAAAUGGACUGUCCAACUCACCCGGCAGCCACUCCCAGAGCCCCUGGAACUCUGGCCCAAGGCUCUCUGACUGACUCCUUCCCAGAUCUUCUCGGCUCAGCAGCUGAAGACUGACACUGCUUGAUUGCCUGGGAAGCCUAUAGGACCAUCACAGACACUUUGGAUAACUCUUACAGUGAAGGAAGACGGGAAUGUCAGGCCUCUGAGCCCAAGCCUGCACAUAUACAUCCAGAUGGCCUGAAGCAAGUGAAGAAUCACAAAAGAAGUGAAAAUGGCUGGUUCCUGCCUUAACUGAUGACAUUCCACCAUUGUGAUUUGUUCCUGCCCCACCUUAACUGAGUGAUUAACCUUGUGAAAUUCCUUUCCUGGCUCAGAAGCUCCCCCACUGAGCACCUUGUGACCCCCGCCCCUGCCCAUAAGAGAGCAAACCCCUUUGACUGUAAUUGUCCACUACCCACCCAAAUCCUGUAAAACAGCCCCACCCCUAUCUCCCUUCCCUGACUCUCUUUUUGGACUCAGCCCACCUGCAACCAGGUGAAAUAAACAGCCUUGUUG